ACAGAGGCGACGAAUCAACAUGAAAAAGGGGGGACCGUACAGCGGAACGAACCCAGGAGGGAGACAGGGCGUGAGGGACAAAAUAACCUUAGGGUAAGGAAUGACUCCCCAGUGAACAAUAACACCCCUCGGAAUGCCAAAACAAAAUUCAUCGUCAAAAAAGACGACAGUGUUGACUUAACGAACGAUCUAAACUUGGAUUCCUCUUGGAAUAAUGACUCCAAAACGUUCCAGAAUAAUAAUCAGGAAAAGCAAUAUAAUGACUAUAAUAGCAAACAGAAAACUUCCUUGCCACCCCGACUCCCCGACCCCCCUGUAGAGGACCUACCGGAGACGUACGCUCAGAGGGGGUUCCGGGAACAGUACCGACCCAACGACCUCCUCCGACAGAAGACCAUCUACAGGGACCCGGACGAGUGGGAGCUUCCGGAAAAACGUGAAAGUGUUGGGAGUUUCGAUGUUUCAAAGUUUAAAGCUGCCAACGCCAAUGUACAGUCACAACAAAAGAGAGAAAUAUUUACUAUGACACCAG